rnacentral:rRNA from 2 species
AGAGUUUGAUCCUGGCUCAGGAUGAACGCUAGCUACAGGCUUAACACAUGCAAGUCGAGGGGAAACGGCAUUGAGUGCUUGCACUCUUUGGACGUCGACCGGCGCACGGGUGAGUAACGCGUAUCCAACCUUCCCAUUACUGUGGGAUAACCUGCCGAAAGGCAGACUAAUACCGCAUAGUCUUCGAUGACGGCAUCAGAUUUGAAGUAAAGAUUUAUCGGUAAUGGAUGGGGAUGCGUCUGAUUAGCUUGUUGGCGGGGUAACGGCCCACCAAGGCAACGAUCAGUAGGGGUUCUGAGAGGAAGGUCCCCCACAUUGGAACUGAGACACGGUCCAAACUCCUACGGGAGGCAGCAGUGAGGAAUAUUGGUCAAUGGGCGAGAGCCUGAACCAGCCAAGUAGCGUGCAGGAUGACGGCCCUAUGGGUUGUAAACUGCUUUUGUAUGGGGAUAAAGUUAGGGACGUGUCCCUAUUUGCAGGUACCAUACGAAUAAGGACCGGCUAAUUCCGUGCCAGCAGCCGCGGUAAUACGGAAGGUCCAGGCGUUAUCCGGAUUUAUUGGGUUUAAAGGGAGCGUAGGCUGGAGAUUAAGUGUGUUGUGAAAUGUAGACGCUCAACGUCUGAAUUGCAGCGCAUACUGGUUUCCUUGAGUACGCACAACGUUGGCGGAAUUCGUCGUGUAGCGGUGAAAUGCUUAGAUAUGACGAAGAACUCCGAUUGCGAAGGCAGCUGACGGGAGCGCAACUGACGCUUAAGCUCGAAGGUGCGGGUAUCGAACAGGAUUAGAUACCCUGGUAGUCCGCACAGUAAACGAUGGAUGCCCGCUGUUGGUACCUGGUAUCAGCGGCUAAGCGAAAGCAUUAAGCAUCCCACCUGGGGAGUACGCCGGCAACGGUGAAACUCAAAGGAAUUGACGGGGGCCCG